AUGUUGGAUCACCAACAGCUUUUGGAUCCUGGUUGGAGGGGGAUGGGUCUUCCUGAAUCUGAGGGAUCAGAGGGACACCUGGAAGUCUCCUGUUUUCACCCUCCCCUCCAGGACAUGAUCAAAUCCCUUCCUGACUCCCAGAUUUUAAAGCUGAACCCGCAGAAAUCCCAAUCCCUGCCCACAAAAUUCCGGGAUCGCUCCACCAUCCCAAACCAUCCCCAGGAUGAGCUCCAGGACUCUUGGAAUCCUCAAAUCCAAUGGUCCACGGAGCCUGGAGAGCUGAUCUGUCCACCCCAGAGCAUCGGAUUCAUCCUCAGUGACCCUCAAUCCACAGGUCUGGAUGCAGCUGAAGUCCACAGGCAGCUCCAAGAGUAUUCCCAGCCUCGGGAAUACGCCAGCAAUGGUGGAAAUUGGGAAGAAAAGCUUGGCACAACUCCCAGACAGACCACGUUGGAGACUGCGGUGAAGCCCUUCGUGGAGCCACCUCCACUCCUUGCAGCCCGGGCGCAGCAGACAACGGGAAACUCGCAGCCAGAAGGCGACAGCCAAUUACCAGCCCCGUGCCUGCAGCCCAUGGAUGAGGGCUCCUGCCACCGCCAUUCCCUGCUCUGGUAUUUCCACGGCCCCACAAACUCCUGCCGGCCCUUCCUGUUCGGGGGCUGCCGAGGGAACAGCAACCGCUUCCCAUCCCGGCGGGAAUGCGAGCGGCGCUGCCGGAGCUCCGCAGGCAGAGGGAAAUGAGCGGCUCCAAGUGCUUCAUUUAAAUCCAGCGGGAUUGGGAGGAGCGAAUCCGACGCCUCUGGUAGGGACGGGAAAAGCAAACAUGAAGAUGUUGGGAAAAAAAGAUGUCGGAAAACUGGAAUGACGGAUAUUAUGGGAUGAGGAGAGGAGAAACCUCAGGAAAAGGAGGUUGGGAAGGGCAGAAUUCCUGAGCCAAUCCAG
rnacentral:lncRNA from 1 species